rnacentral:lncRNA from 1 species
GCAAGUGGCCAGAGGCCAACGUCACAGGACGGGCGCCAUGACGUCACCCUCCAGGCCGGGCGGGGCGGGACCCUGCUCCGUUCACGCCCUCUCUGACUCUUUCCGGACCAGCCACGCUUCUCCGUGAUUUGGGGUCCUUGGAGAUGUUGACCUUGAGUCCCCAAUUGAAAGUAUCCCUUCUAGCCCAGAGUAGUGACACUGGCCUGUAAUCCCAGCUCUUGGGAGGCUGAGGCAGAAGAAUCACAGCCCUAAUGCAUUCUGGGAUGAUCUUGUUUGUGUACGUGGGUGCUCCUUGUCAAACUUGCUACCAGAGUGUGAGCGCUAUCAGCACAGGCACUGCCGGACCCUCGUCCCCACCAAGGCAGUUUGGGAUGCAGCAGUCACUAAGGAACCGUGUCCAAUCCGGAGAGGCUCUAGCGCCAGGCUGAACUGGCUCCCACACCUCUGCCUGCUUGCUGUGUGCCUUGGGGCGGACCCUUAACCUCUGUGAGUCGCAGUUUUCUCACUUAUAAAAUAGACAUUAGGCCAGGGAUUUAGCUCAGUGGCGCUGUGCCUGUCUCACAAGUGCAAGGUCCUGAGUUCGAUCCCCAGUACUGAAAAAAUGGACGUUACAAUGUCUCCCUCACAAGACCAAGGGUGAAAUAACUAUGCAUUUAAAACUCAUUUCCUAUUUAGGAGAAAAAAAAAGAGAGAGAGAGCGAGCAGAUUGCUGCCAGGACUCAUUUAAUUUACAGCAAUCAAGAGUCACCCUAUUUUGUAAAUGGAAACAGCACUACUACUAAAAACAAGAUGCUAUAAACUGAAUGCUCUUUUGUUUUCAAAGACUAUCAAUAUACUAGAGCUAUGUGAAAAUAAAAAUAAAAGCGAGAUAUUUUGUGGCAAACUCUGGAGGUAAGGUGAGGACUAACCUUCACAGUCACGAUGGGUUUGGAGGGAGGGGAUGCUCUGUGUGCAUUUUAGAGAUGAGAAGAGAGGACACAGAAAUCACCUUAACCAGCAAGAAGUACCACUUGAACCUGGUUUUCCCAAGCUCAAGGUCAGCAGGAGAGUCACUGGUGUGAUUUUUUAAGCAGGGGGUCCCAGUCUGUGGGCACCUCAGUUGUCUUCGAUUUGAACAUAGCCCCUUCUGGGAGGUGGGCUAUGUACUUUUUAUCUUGUGCACAAGGGUGGGCAAGCAUUGCAGCCAGGGGGCCUAAGAUAGAAGACCCUCACGAUCAAAGGCCCUGCGUUGGUGAAAGUGGCUGGUGUCUGGGUUUUGUUGUGCUCGGCACUUCUGCAAGUGUGGCCUUCUCCAG